UACGUAGGUGGCAAGCGUUGUCCGGAUUUACUGGGCGUAAAGGAUGCGUAGGCGGACAUUUAAGUCAGAUGUGAAAUACCCGAGCUUAACUUGGGUGCUGCAUUUGAAACUGGGUGUCUAGAGUGCAGGAGAGGUAAGUGGAAUUCCUAGUGUAGCGGUGAAAUGCGUAGAGAUUAGGAAGAACACCAGUGGCGAAGGCGACUUACUGGACUGAUAACUGACGCUGAGGCAUGAAAGCGUGGGGAGCAAACAGG
rnacentral:rRNA from 1 species